ACUGGGAUCUAGUAGGGGACAGAAUCUCUUCACCUUGCUGCAGGAUGAGGGGCUAGAUGGGCGAAACCUCCUACUGUGCUUACUGGCUCUGUGUGAGCUCUAAGGGACUGCACUUGCCCAGAGAAAGGGGCUGGGGGCUCAUGUUGCUUCAAAGGCUCUAUCCAAGGCUCUGGGUUCCUUGGGCUGAGAUUGCUGGGAAGGGGCAACUCUGGGGGUCAAGAGAACCCCUGGAGCUCUGUCCAGACCAAGAAAGCAGAGUCCCCUCAGAUGGAAGCCCACAUCUCAUGUCCUCUCUUGCAGGUUCUACAGUCGCUUAUGAGCUGACUCAGGACUCCUCGGUGUCAGUGAACCUGGGACAGACAGCCAGGAUCACGUGUGGGGGAGACAACAUUGCUUGCAGCUCUAUCUCAAAUACUUUUAAUUUUGCUGAAAGCAAAGAAUUGGAAGCCACCUGCCUUUGAGAGGAUUUGAACGGGUAGGCAGUUUGAUGCACCACUUGACCCUUUCUGGAAUGAAGGGUUUAUCACCUCAUCUGCUGGGAGAGAUGCCUGCAAACAUCCCUGCCCUCAUCUGUCAGCUCCCUUGAUGAAGAGAGCCACCCAGAGCCGAGCCGUGUUCCUGCCCUGAACAGCUGGCCUCUGAAAGCUGAUGAGUGUGAGGGUGUGAAGACCAAGCCUCUCAGCCCACUUGGGGAAGCUGAGAAAGACCAUCCCAACAGCAAAGCUCCACUAUAGCUGAUUCCUUCCUCUGCCCACUCUGCUUCGCACCCAUCCCUUGCACAUGGGUUGGUCCCAAGCAUUCUCUAUAAACCUCCUGCAGUCUGGCUCCAUCCCAGAAUCAGCUCCCUGCACAGAGGUGUCACCCAGCCAUUUGUUGUCCACUUUCCCAGGUUCAUAUCAGGGACACGCACCAAGAAACUUGACUGGAAGUUACUAAGAGACCUCUCGUGCAUGAUAGAGUUUAGAAGACUGGGAAAAAAAUUAAAAUCUGUAAUCGUCUUGCA